AAAAAGCCUGGAACCCCCCCUCGGGCGAUCGACGAACGACCUGACCCCGAGUGGCACCCAUAUGCAUUGUAUGCGCCGCGCCCUGGGCGCGCUACAACGGUGACCCAGCACGCCUAAUGCCCUGAUUCCCGCCCGCUGUUCGUAGUCGAGCUCACCUACGGGUGAUAGAGGAAUUGCAGGCACAGGGCGGCAGCAAGAAAGUGUCACGAGCAGGGAAAAUGGCGACAGCGAUGUUAAGGGCGGCGUGCAGCAAGCAAGCUAGAACACGCAUCCCAGUCCCGGCCCACUAAUGAUUGCGGGAAAAGAGAGCGAGGCUGUGGUCGUCGAGAAACUUAUAAGGAGUCAUCGGCUGCAUGGGGUCAAGUCGGCGGGCGUCGGUUGUGGAGCACUAGAAGGCAGCGAACCCCCCGAACUGCUGGACAUGCUCUAGUGUGUUCGUGCGUGUGGCGCCGCGGGCUGGCGGGAGCUGGCCUCCCGCUCCCCACUCCACGACGUCACCGAGGCUAGGCAUGCUCGCGGCCGCAGUGGCCGCGUCGGCUGUCCGAAACAAGCCCCCCGGGGGGCAUCCAUAUACUCCCCUGAAAGGAAAAGCGCGCCGGUGUGUCCACCAGUCCACGGGCCGGGCGAGGGGGCGGGCGCAUGGUAGUGCUGCGCCGUACGCCGCCGCGACAGCACGCUCGUGACAAAGCCCGCCGAUGAUGAGAGUCAUCGUGUAGUCCCAGAAGCUCGCAGCAGUCGACGCCGCGCGCGCGCCAUCGAUGGCAUGUCAUGAUUGCAUCGCGGCUCCGGACAAGGUCCUGGCCCUGUGACGCGGGCUGAAUAAAUAGGAUACGAGCGUGAUGCUGGCACCGAGGUCCGCGGGAGCGGGUCGGCGAAGUGGUCGACUUGUUCUUGAGCUCGUUGUCGCCCAGUCCGCCAGGUCGCCCAAACUACCCCAGCUCCGCGCACCCGGCCCGUUGGAAAGGUACAGUACAGUUAAGCAAAAGCAAAUACCGGGGGCUUAAAAGCCCUCAGCCCAAAGGCCCGCCCAUAGGUCCCGAAUUGGAAAAACAAACGAGCCCCAGCCAGAAGCGCCAAGACCCGGCCUGAAACCCGGAGCAGCCCUGGCGGCCCCUGACAGUCCCAAGACGACACAGGUAAUGCCCAUGUGUUGAAAAGAAAACAACAAAACGAAGCCCGCCCAGACGGCGCGACGGAGUUACUUACGGAUACCUACCGAUACCGAGCGUCUUGUAGCCGCGUCGACCCCGGUAGUCAUACUUACCCGCAAAAAGCCUGGAACCCCCCCUCGGGCGAUCGACGAACGACCUGACCCCGAGUGGCACCCAUAUGCAUUGUAUGCGCCGCGCCCUGGGCGCGCUACAACGGUGACCCAGCACGCCUAAUGCCCUGAUUCCCGCCCGCUGUUCGUAGUCGAGCUCACCUACGGGUGAUAGAGGAAUUGCAGGCACAGGGCGGCAGCAAGAAAGUGUCACGAGCAGGGAAAAUGGCGACAGCGAUGUUAAGGGCGGCGUGCAGCAAGCAAGCUAGAACACGCAUCCCAGUCCCGGCCCACUAAUGAUUGCGGGAAAAGAGAGCGAGGCUGUGGUCGUCGAGAAACUUAUAAGGAGUCAUCGGCUGCAUGGGGUCAAGUCGGCGGGCGUCGGUUGUGGAGCACUAGAAGGCAGCGAACCCCCCGAACUGCUGGACAUGCUCUAGAUGUCUGCGUGUGUGUGUGUGUGUGUGUGUGUGUGUGUGUGUGUGUGUGUGUGUGUGUGUGUGUGUGUGUGUGUGUGUGUGUGUGUGUGUGUGUGUGUGUGUGUGUUGCUG
rnacentral:lncRNA from 1 species